CUGGCCGUAAACGAUGAAUGCUAGGUGUGGGUGUAGCGAUACAUCUGUGCCGUAGUUAACGCGUUAAGCAUUCCGCCUGGGGAGUACGAUCGCAAGAUUGAAACUCAAAGGAAUUGACGGGGGCCCGCACAAGCGGUGGAGCACGUGGUUUAAUUCGAUGCAAACCGAAGAACCUUACCUGGGUUUGACAUGUACGUAUUACUGAGAUGAAAGUCGAUGGACCUAGUUUUCGGAUUAGGAGCGUACACAGGUGC
rnacentral:rRNA from 1 species